GGCUCAGGAUGAACGCUAGCUACAGGGCCUUAAACACAUGCAAGUCGAGGGGAAACGAUAGAGAAAGCUUGCUUUUCUAGGCGUCGACCGGCGCACGGGUGAGUAACGCGUAUCCAACCUGCCCAUCACUUGGGGAUAACCUUGCGAAAGUAAGACUAAUACCCAAUGACGUCUCUAGAAGACAUCUGAAGGAGAUUAAAGAUUUAUCGGUGAUGGAUGGGGAUGCGUCUGAUUAGCUUGUUGGCGGGUAACGGCCCACCAAGGCGACGAUCAGUAGGGGUUCUGAGAGGAAGGCCCCCCACAUUGGAACUGAGACAUGGUCCAAACUCCUACGGGAGGCAGCAGUGAGGAAUAUUGGUCAAUGGACGAGAGUCUGAACCAGCCAAGUAGCGUGCAGGAUGACGGCCCUAUGGGUUGUAAACUGCUUUUAUAAGGGAAUAAAGUGAGUCUCGUGAGACUUUUUGCAUGUACCUUAUGAAUAAGGACCGGCUAAUUCCGUG
rnacentral:rRNA from 1 species